AGCGAACGCUGGCGGCAGGCCUAACACAUGCAAGUCGAACGAACCUUUCGGGGUUAGUGGCGGACGGGUGAGUAACACGUGGGAACGUGCCUUUAGGUUCGGAAUAACUCAGGGAAACUUGUGCUAAUACCGAAUGUGCCCUUCGGGGGAAAGAUUAAUCGCCUUUAGAGCGGCCCGCGUCUGAUUUGCUAGUUGGUUGAGGUAAUGGCUCACCAAGGCGACGAUCAGUAGCUGGUCUGAGAGGAUGAUCAGCCACAUUGGGACUGAGACACGGCCCAAACUCCUACGGGAGGCAGCAGUGGGGAAUCUUGCGCAAUGGGCGAAAGCCUGACGCAGCCAUGCCGCGUGAAUGAUGAAGGUCUUAGGAUUGUAAAAUUCUUUCACCGGGGACGAUAAUGACGGUACCCGGAGAAGAAGCCCCGGCUAACUUCGUG
rnacentral:rRNA from 1 species